ncrna:unclassified sequences RAGATH-18 RNA
ACUGUGGAGUGUACAAAAACUUGCUAGUAGCGUAUAAUCGCAAACGCAUACACAUUGAAGCAGUAA